UCUUUCAGACUUCCAGAUGCACAGAGCAUCAUGAUGUCUACUGAGAACACCUCUUUGAACCAUUUUGUUGCCAGGUUCUUCCUCUUCUGCAGUCCCUCACUUUUAGUGCUUCUUUUGUCAUGUUCAUCUUUUAUGGGUGCCUGUGCUCCAGGCUGUGACAGGAGGUUGCUGAAGGUUUGAAAAAACAUUUGGCAGGGCCCUGUGUCACUCAGCACUGGCCAUGAGGAACAAUGCCAGACAUUUGCUGCUGGGAGCAAGAGGAAAUCUGUUCAGCUGAGGCCUCUGAAGCCUGUCAACUCGGUGUGCUUAAGUGAUUUUCUGGCAACAGAUCUGGAGAGUGAGACAGGAGCCAAAACAGAAACACAGCAGGAAGUAAAGGAGCAAACAGAAAGGAGGUUUGUGGACAGGUACUUGAAAUGUGCUGUUCUUUACAUGCCAGGAAAGUGGAUCAGAUUUAGGGCCAGAAAAAGGAGAGAGAGUGGUGAGAAAUGUUGAAAAAAGGGAAGUUGGCUAUUGCUGGUCCUUCUACCACAUGUUCAAAGCACAAACAGUCCAAAGUAGAAUGAAGGCACUGUGUCUCCUGGGGUACUUUGUUAAUGGUAGGAGAUUUAGCUCCUGGCAGUUUGUACUGUCUGUGCUGCAGCCCUUGCCCCAAACUUGGUGAGGCAACACUUGUGUUACUGCCAUUACCUGUUGUGUCUCACAGAGCCUGAGUCAACAACGUGUUGCUGCAUCAGCACGGAGAGAAGGUGCUGAGCAAAACACCAGCUUUGCAACGCUGUGGCAGAAAAGAAAUUUUGCUGGGUAAAAAGGGACAAUCAGUUCCCUUUUUCAAUUCUGCCAGCCUCCCCUCCAAGAGACACAUUUACAAGCGAGGGAAGAGCCCACAUUCUCUCAAAGCCCAAACCUCACGAGGGAGCCCAACUUUGCACUGAAGAAAAAAGACGCAAGACAGGAGUUUCAGCGAACUACAGACACCCCAGUGUUUAUUAACUCCAGAUUAGUGGGAUAGGCACAACGCUGCAUCCACGGGAUCUCUCCCCACACUCUAAGCUUGUUCCUUCAGC